rnacentral:tRNA from 1 species
AAAAAAUUAGUUAAACUUAUAACAUUAGUAUGUCAAACUAAAAUUAUUAAUAUAUUAAUAUUUUUUA